UGCUUUUAAAGGAUAACAGCUCAUCCAUUGGUCUUAGGAACCAAAAACUCUUGGUGCAAAUCCAAGUGAAAGCU
rnacentral:tRNA from 1 species